GGUCUGAGAGGAUGAGCAGCCACACUGGGACUGAGACACGGUCCAGACUCCUACGGGAGGCAGCAGUGGGGAAUUUUCCGCAAUGGGCGAAAGCCUGACGGAGCAAUACCGCGUGAGGGAGGAAGGCCUUUGGGUUGUAAACCUCUUUUCUCAGGGAAGAAGAUCUGACGGUACCUGAGGAAUAAGCAUCGGCUAACUCCGUGCCAGCAGCCGCGGUAAUACGGAGGAUGCAAGCGUUAUCCGGAAUCAUUGGGCGUAAAGCGUCCGCAGGGGGUUUUUCAAGUCUGCUGUUAAAGACUGGAGCUCAACUCCGGAAAGGCAGUGGAAACUGAGAAACUAGAGUUCGGUAGGGGUAGCGGGAAUUCCCAGUGUAGCGGUGAAAUGCGUAGAUAUUGGGAAGAACAUCGGUGGCGAAGGCGCGCUACUGGACCGAAACUGACACUCAGGGACGAAAGCUAGGGGAGCGAAAGGGAUUAGAUACCCCUGUAGUCCUAGCUGUAAACGAUGGAAACUAGGUGUGGCUUGUAUCGACCCGAGCCGUGCCGUAGCUAACGCGUUAAGUUUCCCGCCUGGGGAGUACGCACGCAAGUGUGAAACUCAAAGGAAUUGACGGGGGCCCGCACAAGCGGUGGAGUAUGUGGUUUAAUUCGAUGCAACGCGAAGAACCUUACCAGGGCUUGACAUGUCGCGAAUCUCCUUGAAAGGGGAGAGUGCCUUCGGGAGCGCGAACACAGGUGGUGCAUGGCUGUCGUCAGCUCGUGUCGUGAGAUGUUGGGUUAAGUCCCGCAACGAGCGCAACCCUCGUCUUUAGUUGCCAGCAUUAAGGUGGGCACUUUAGAGAGACUGCCGGUGACAAACCGGAGGAAGGUGGGGAUGACGUCAAGUCAGCAUGCCCCUUACGCCCUGGGCUACACACGUACUACAAUGGUUGGGACAAAGGGCAGCGACCCCGCGAGGGAAAGCGAAUCUCAUCAAACCCAGCCUCAGUUCAGAUUGCAGGCUGCAACUCGCCUGCAUGAAGGAGGAAUCGCUAGUAAUCGCAGGUCAGCAUACUGCGGUGAAUUCGUUCCCGGGCCUUGUACACACCGCCCGUCACACCAUGGAAGCUGGUCACGCCCGAAGUAGUUACCCUAACCUUUCGGGGGGGGGGACUCCUAAGGCAGGGCUAGUGACUGGGGUGAAGUCGUAACAAGGUAGCCGUACCGGAAGGUGUGGCUG
rnacentral:rRNA from 1 species